GCUCUGGUAGCAUAUUGGUUAGAGCAUCCGCCUCGUAUACGAGAGGUCGUGGGUUCGAUCCCCGGUCGAGACA